CCGCCUGGGGAGUACGGCCGCAAGGUUAAAACUCAAAUGAAUUGACGGGGGCCCGCACAAGCGGUGGAGCAUGUGGUUUAAUUCGAUGCAACGCGAAGAACCUUACCUGGUCUUGACAUCCACGGAAGUUUUCAGAGAUGAGAAUGUGCCUUCGGGAACCGUGAGACAGGUGCUGCAUGGCUGUCGUCAGCUCGUGUUGUGAAAUGUUGGGUUAAGUCCCGCAACGAGCGCAACCCUUAUCCUUUGUUGCCAGCGGUCCGGCCGGGAACUCAAAGGAGACUGCCAGUGAUAAACUGGAGGAAGGUGGGGAUGACGUCAAGUCAUCAUGGCCCUUACGACCAGGGCUACACACGUGCUACAAUGGCGCAUACAAAGAGAAGCGACCUCGCGAGAGCAAGCGGACCUCAUAAAGUGCGUCGUAGUCCGGAUUGGAGUCUGCAACUCGACUCCAUGAAGUCGGAAUCGCUAGUAAUCGUGGAUCAGAAUGCCACGGUGAAUACGUUCCCGGGCCUUGUACACACCGCCCGUCACACCAUGGGAGUGGGUUGCAAAAGAAGUAGGUAGCUUAACCUUCGGGAGGGCGCUUACCACUUUGUGAUUCAUGACUGGGGUGAAGUCGUAACAAGGUAACCGUAGGGGAACCUGCGGUUGGAUCACCUCCUU
rnacentral:rRNA from 1 species